AUCCCAGAGUCUUAUUCUCGACGAUUGAUCGUCUGUUAAACCCAGGUAACUCAAAGGAAUGCCUCCUAAGUACUUCCAGUAAAACCUGUGAGGCUAUUGCUGUAUUUUUCAAUCAAAAAAAUUAAUGAUAUUAGAAAUAACAUAGUAUAUCUCCCCAACACUGAGGAUCCUCCUAAACCCCAGCAUUCAGUUAUAAACAAAUUAAACUCUUUCACUAGGAUAGAUUAACCUGAUUUACAUAAAAUAAUUUCUCAACUGAAACCCUCCACCUGUGUCCUUGACCCAAUACCAACAAAUUUUUUCAAAGAAGUAUCGGGCGUGCUAAUUGAUAAUGUUCUUGACAUAGUAAAUUCGUCAUUAGAUACGGGUGUCUUCCCAGACUGUCUUAAGACUGCUGUAGUUAAACCCCUACUCAAGAAAAAUAAUCUUGACCCCUCUGCUUUUGAAAAUUUUAGACCCAUCUCUAACCUGCCUUUCUUAAGUAAAAUUCUAGAGAAGGCAGUCAUUAUGCAGUUAAAUGACCACCUCAAUAAACAUGUUAUUCUUGAUAAAUUUCAGUGAGGUUUUAGAACAAAUCACAGCACAGAAACUGCAUUCGUUAAAGUAGUAAAUGACUUGUGGGUAAAUGCAGACAGAGGUCAUUUAUCUGUUCUCAUCCUCUUAGAUCUGAGUGCCGCAUUUGACACCAUUGAUCACAAUAUUCUUAGAAAUCACCUUAGUCAAUGGGUGGGCCUCUCUGGCAGAGUCUUAAAUUGGUUUGAAUCCUACCUGGCAGGGAGAAAAUUUUUUGUUAGUUGUGGUAAUUACAACUGAAAGACACAUGAUAUCCUAUAUGGUGUUCCACAAGACUCUAUCCUGGGUCCGCUCCUUUUCUCAAUCUACAUGCUUCCGUUAGGUCAGAUUAUCUCAGGGCACAACGUGAGCUACCACAGCUAUGCUGAUGACACACAGCUGUAUUUAUCAAUAGCACCUGAUGACCCCGAUUCUCUUGAUUCACUAACACAAUGUCUUACUUGUAUUUCUGAAUGGAUGAAUAGUAAUUAUCUCAAGCUAAAUAAAGAGAAAACUGAAAUUUUAGUGAUUGGCAAUAAUGAAUACACUGAGGUUAUCAGAAAUAAACUUGAUGCAUUAGGAUUAAAAGUCAAGACAGAGGUAAAAAGCUUAGGGGUAACUUGACUGUAACCUGAAUUUUAAAUCGCAUAUUAAUCAGAUCACUAGGACAGCAUUUUUUCACUUAAGAAACAUAGCAAAAGUUAGACCUCUUAUAUCAUUGAAAGAUGCUGAGAAAUUAGUUCACGCGUUUGUUUUCAGUCGACUAGAUUACUGUAAAGCAUUCCUCUCAGGACUACCCAAAAAAGACAUAAAUCAUUUGCAACUAGUGCAGAAUGCAGCUGCUAGAAUCCUAACUAGGAAAAGAAAAUCCGAGCACAUUUCUCCAGUUUUGAUGUCACUACACUGGUUACCUGUGUCAUUCAGAAUUGACUUUAAAAUUCUGCUUAUGAUUUAUAAAGCCUUAAAUAAUUUCACCCCAUCCUAUAUAUCGGAAUGUCUGACAUCUUAUAUUCCAAAUCGUAACCUUAGAUCCUCAAAUGAGUGUCUCCUUAGAAUUCCAAGAGCAAAACUUAAAAGAAGUGGUGAAGCAGCCUUCUGCUGUUAUGCAACUAAAAUCUGGAAUAGCCUGCCAGUAGGAAUUCGCCAGGCUAAUACAGUGGAGCACUUUAAAAAACUACUGAAAACACAUUACUUUAACAUGGCCUUCUCAUAACUUCACUUUAAUUUAAUCCUGAUACUCUAUAUAUUCAAUUCAUUAUAAUAACUAUUCAUGGUGGCUCUAAAAUCCGUACUAACCCCUACUCUCUCUUCUGUUUCUUUUUCCGGUUUCUUUGUGGUGGCGGCCUGUGCCACCACCAUCUACUCAAAGCACCAUGAUGUUCCAACAUUGAUGGAUUAAAAGCCAGAAGUCUGCAUUACCUUCAUCAUCGAGAUGCCCGGUGGUAACCAGCCUUCCAUGUGGCUGAACAGAUGCCAGUGUACCCAAAUUCUGAGACACAACUGGAUGUUCUUUUCUUCUGCUUUUAAGAUUCCCAAUUCAAGAUGAUGUCCAGUUCAUGUUAGAUUUGCUAUUUCUACAGUUACAGUGAAGUAGAAGAGUCUGGUCAUGUUAUGGGGCAGCAGUUAAAAAAGAAGGAUGGAGAGAUGUGUGCCAUGUUGAAGUAGUGGGUGGCCCUCCUGCCCGGCACUUCUAGAAUCCUCCAUCUCAACCUCUGCUCUGAUCUGCUGUGCCUUUGCCAAGUGAUCAUGAGUUAAUUGCAGUGGUGCCCCCCUGCGUCUCCACCAUCUGUUACAUCAACUCCAACUGCCUGUGAUGCUAGAGAGAAGAAAAGUUCACAAGAUUUCCUGAAAUGGAAUUGUGAUUGGACUGAUACGGCCACAGUUAUGUAUGCUGUGAUGUACAGAGCAGGCUGUGUGGGCUUCGGCUUGGGACCCCCAUAGGUUUAUUAUCUCCAGCAUCUUUGAAAGCUGCAAGUUUGUCUUUGUCCCCGGCCAUUUGACCAGGUAGUGUAUUUAUUACAAAGGACAAGGACCUCUCCAUUUGUUUCUUAUUUACUUUUAUAAUGCCUUCAAUUUUCUUUGUAACUGUAUAUUUUUGUAGAGCAAUUUGAGCUACACUUGUAAGAAAAGGUGAUAUAGAAAUAUUA